GCAGCAGAGAGGCGCUUUAGUUUUACAUUCUCCUGCAGUGGAAGAACAUUGCUGCUCUGCUGUCUCUUUGACUUUAACAACUCCAAAGACAUGUUGCUUCACCUCUUUUUACUUUGCUCUCACUUUAUAGCCCUGAGUUCCAUGAACAGCAUAAAGCCAGAAAGGACUGAAGAACAUGUUGCAGAGGGAAGAAACAUCAACCUGGCCUGUAAAUAUGAGGGUGUUAUCUCCAAUAUCCAGUGGUACCGACAAUACCAGAGAUCCAGACCAGAGUUCCUGCUCUCCAUCACAGAGGGAGGAUCGAUCCAUCCAACUGGUUCUGGUUUCUCAGCUCACAUCAACAAAACAGAGAAACGUGUAGAUGUGGAGAUCAUCUCAGCUAAAGUGACUGACUCUGCUGUGUACUACUGUGCUCUGCAGCCCACAGUGACAGGAAACAGCAAAACUCUGCACAAAAACCUCUGCAGCAAACACAACACAAAUGGCAUUGCUGACUGGCCUCCAGGCCCACUAAUGCAGGCUGACGAACUGUUUCUCAAACCUCCAAAAGCAGAACUGGAGCCAGAGCCUUGA